rnacentral:rRNA from 1 species
GAUGAACGCUGGCGGCGUGCCUAAUACAUGCAAGUCGAGCGAACGGACGAGAAGCUUGCUUCUCUGAUGUUAGCGGCGGACGGGUGAGUAACACGUGGAUAACCUACCUAUAAGACUGGGAUAACUUCGGGAAACCGGAGCUAAUACCGGAUAAUAUUUUGAACCGCAUGGUUCAAAGUUGAAAACGGUUCUUGCGUUCACUAAUGGAUGAACCCCGCUGCAUUAGCUAGUUGGUAAGGUAACGGCUUACCAAGGCAACGAUGCAUAGCCGACCUGAGAGGGUGAUCGGCCACACUGGAACUGAGACACGGUCCAGACUCCUACGGGAGGCAGCAGUAGGGAAUCUUCCGCAAUGGGCGAAAGCCUGACGGAGCAACGCCGCGUGAGUGAUGAAGGUCUUCGGAUCGUAAAACUCUGUUAUUAGGGAAGAACAUAUGUGUAAGUAACUGUGCACAUCUUGACGGUACCUAAUCAGAAAGCCACGGCUAACUACGUG